CUAUCAUAAGACACCUUUAUGGAGACUUGACAACACAUCUUAAGUGUGUACAAAGCUGCAGAAGAACAUUCAAUGGUUGAGGAACAUCAUGAGCAAAGAUUUAAAACCAACAUGAAAUGACAAGAAAGUCCAACUCCAUGAUUAAAGCUGAAGAAUCCUUAAAUGGAGAAAUGUCUGUUAUCCUCAAUAGGUUGAUUGGGGGAUUUUACUGCUUUGACUCCUUCAGCCACAAAAUGUAUGUAUUCAUUUGUUCAGUGAGUAUUAAGUG
rnacentral:lncRNA from 1 species